GCUCAACACAUGCAAGUUCGAACGGUAACAGGUCUUCGGUAGCUGACGAGUGGCGAACGGGUGAGUAAUACAUCGGAACGUGCCCGAUCGUGGGGGAUAACGGAGCGAAAGCUUUGCUAAUACCGCAUACGAUCUACGGAUGAAAGCAGGGGACCGCAAGGCCUUGCGCGGACGGAGCGGCCGAUGGCAGAUUAGGUAGUUGGUGGGAUAAAAGCUUACCAAGCCGACGGUCUGUAGCUGGUCUGAGAGGACGACCAGCCACACUGGGACUGAGACACGGCCCAGACUCCUACGGGAGGCAGCAGUGGGGAAUUUUGGACAAUGGGCGAAAGCCUGAUCCAGCCAUGCCGCGUGCAGGAUGAAGGCCUUCGGGUUGUAAACUGCUUUUGUACGGAACGAAAAGACUCUUUCUAAUAAAGAGGGUCCAUGACGGUACCGUAAGAAUAAGCACCGGCUAACUACGUGCCAGCAGCCGCGGUAAUACGUAGGGUGCAAGCGUUAAUCGGAAUUACUGGGCGUAAAGCGUGCGCAGGCGGUUUUGUAAGACUGUCGUGAAAUCCCCGGGCUCAACCUGGGAAUGGCGAUGGUGACUGCAAGGCUAGAGUUUGGCAGACGGGGGUGAGAAUUCCUCGU
rnacentral:rRNA from 1 species